AUCGAACUGGACUGAUCACCCUUCGGGGUGAGAGGACCAGUGACGGAGCGGCGGACUGGUGAGUAACGCGUAGCCAACCUACCCCCUUGACGGAGAUAACUACCUGAAAGGGUAGCUAAUACCCGAUAUUGCUCGAGAUCGAAAGAUCUUGAGCCAAAGGCGGUCUUGCCGUCGCAAGAGGAGGGGGCUGCGUCCCAUUAGCUUGUUGGUGGGGUAAUGGCCCACCAAGGCGAUGAUGGGUAGCUGGUCUGAGAGGAUGGCCAGCCACAUUGGGACUGAGAUACGGCCCAGACUCCUACGGGAGGCAGCAGUGGGGAAUCUUUCGCAAUGGGCGAAAGCCUGACGGAGCGACACCGCGUGGGGGAUGAAGGCUUUCGGGUUGUAAACCUCUUUUCUGGGGGAAGAAUAAGGGCGGGAGGAAAUGCCCGUCCGAUGACGGUACCCCAGGAAUAAGCAUCGGCUAACUUCGUGCCAGCAGCCGCGGUAAGACGAAGGAUGCAAGCGUUAUCCGGAAUUACUGGGCGUAAAGGGCGUUUAGGCGGCUGAGUAAGUCACCCGUGAAAGCCCUCAGCUCAACUGAGGAAUGUCGAGUGAAACUGCUCAGCUUGGGUGCAGGAGAGGAGGGUGGAACCCACAGAGUAGCGGUGGAAUGCGUAGAUACUGUGAGGUACCCCGAUGGCGAAGGCAACCCUCUGGCCUGCUACCGACGCUGAAGCGCGAAAGCGUGGGGAGCAAAGGGGAUUAGAUACCCCCGUAGUCCACGCCGCAAACGAUGUUCACUGGGUGUUGGUCGCUAAUAC
rnacentral:rRNA from 1 species